AACUACUGCUAUUGGAGUUCGAUUAAGCCAUGCGAGUCUAAGGGGUACUUGUACCCCUGGCAUAAUGCUCAGUAACACGUGGAUAAUCUACCCUUAGGUGGGGCAUAAACCCGGGAAACUGGGGCUAAUUCCCCAUAGAUACAGAACGCUGGAAUGCCUCUGUAUUCAAAGCUCCGGCGCCUAAGGAUGAGUCUGCGACCUAUCAGGUAGUAGUCAGGGUCACGACCUGACUAGCCAACGACGGGUACGGGGUGUGAGAGCACUUGCCCGGAGAUGGUUUCUGAGACACGAAACCAGGCCCUACGGGGCGCAGCAGGCGCGAAAACUUCGCAAUGCGGGAAACCGUGACGAGGGAACUCCAAGUGUCUAUGCAAUGCAUAGACUGUUUUUCAGCCUAAAUAGCUGUUAGAGUAAGGGGUGGGGUAAGACCGGUGCCAGCCGCCGCGGUAACACCGGCACCCCAAGUGGUAGCCACUAUUAUUGGGCCUAAAGCGUUCGUAGCCGGUUUAGUAAAUUCUUGGGUAAAUCGUACAGCUUAACUGUGCGGAUUCCGGGGACACUACUAGACUUGAGACCGGGAGAGAUUAGAGGUACUUGCAGGGGAGCGGUGAAAUGUUGUAAUCCUGCAGGGACCACCAGUGGCGAAGGCGUCUAAUCAUAACGGCUCUGACGGUGAGGAACGAAACCCUGGGGCGCAAACGGGAUUAGAUACCCCGGUAGUCCAGGGCGUAAACGCUGCUGACUUGGUGUUUGGAGAUCCUACGAGGGUGUCCAGUGCUGGCGCGAAGGUAUUAAGUCAGCCGC
rnacentral:rRNA from 1 species